AACAUUUUGCUCUUUCUGGUUUCUACUUCGACUUUUAAAUUGCUCAACAACAUUUUCUAAUCUCAGUUUCUGGUUUCAAAGGAUGCGAUUAAAGGGAUUUUUCUGAAGAUUUGUGCAACUCCAAAGUCAUCAUGACCAACGCAUAAGCAGUAUAUGCACUUAUCAUGGAUCAGGAGAGAUGGAUCAUUGGAGGGGCUUGUUUGCAGAACUCCAAAUUCCAUUAGAAGUGUGGAGAGGAGUAGAAGAUUACAGAAGAACAAGAGGCUUUGGUGGUCAAGUCAAGGAAUUCUAUGAAGAAAGAUGCUGAAGAACUUUUUGUUAAGUUCUUUUUGAGGUGAUUGUUUAACUUGAAAAAAACUCUAGGGGAUCUUUGAGAUUGCACCAUCAGCAAAGAAGCUGUUCUCCUUUCUGAGAGAUUCAGAUGUUUCCCUGGAGCAAAAAUCCAAAGCUAAAACCACAUGCCAUGACUGCCUUUGCUAAGCCCAACCUGUGAAUCAGCUGUGCAACUUAGGAAGACUGGCAAAAUUGCUGUGAAACAGUCCACUCUUGCUCAUUUAAGAAGAAAAAUUUUAUGUAUGUGUUACAGGUAACAAAACUUGUCUUGUUAGAGACCAUUAAGGAAGCAGUGCCAGAUAUUUGGUCACCAUUGAUGAAGAAUGCGAGGGAAGAAGCCUAUGAUCAAUUGGUGUCUGCCAUAAAAAUGAAAUGAAACCUUCUGUAUAAUUUUCAUACACACCACUGAUCGCUUUUGAGGAUAAUUAAGCUUGAAAUAUUCA